CAGAAACCCUGAAGGUCGAGUGACGAGUUCCCGUAUUGCACAGUUCGUCCAAACCACCAGAGAUUCCUCACAUUAGUGUGGAGUUUGGCCCUUCAGCCUCUCAGACUGCUGACAUGUUAGGAGACAAACCUCCAGCUGCAUCCUCACCAAAUGUCAUCAAAGGUUCUACUGAUGGAGAUGAAACUGUAGAAGAUCCUGACCUCGAGCCUUCCAACAACACCUCCACGCAACAAACCAGCCCGCUUCCCCCCAAAGACUCUGAGCCCGCUGAGGCUGAGACCGGCCUCAGCCCUGAGCAACAGCUCAGCAACGACUGUGUAGAGGGGGAUUAAAGUUCACGUGCAGCAGUUUCUGCUGAAAAGCUUUGGCAGUGAGCAGAUUUAAAGGUUUCCCAAUGUUCGUGCCUGCUCAUUCGAGUAAUGUUGUGCAUUUCUGGUGGUUUAUAUCUUGAGCACAUGUUCCUACUGUGACGUCAGCUUUGGGUUAGCAAAGACAUUUAUAAUCAAUGGAAAUAAAUGUUUUUCUUAUUUUUAAAAGUCCAAAUCCUAAACGUA